CGGGGUGCAGCAGGCGCGAAACCUUUACACUGCACGAUAGUGCGAUAAGGGGACUCCAAGUGCGAGGGCAUACAGUCCUCGCUUUUCUGGACCGUAAGGUGGUCCAGGAAUAAGUGCUGGGCAAGACCGGUGCCAGCCGCCGCGGUAAUACCGGCAGCACAAGUGAUGGCCAAUCUUAUUGGGCCUAAAGCGUCCGUAGCUGGCCGAGCAGGUCCGUCGGGAAAUCCACGUGCUCAACGCGUGGGCGUCCGGCGGAAACCACUCGGCUUGGGGCCGGAGGACUCGAGGGGUACGUCUGGGGUAGGAGUGAAAUCCCGUAAUCCUGGACGGACCGCCGAUGGCGAAAGCACCUCGAGAGGACGGACCCGACAGUGAGGGACGAAAGCCAGGGUCUCGAACCGGAUUAGAUACCCGGGUAGUCCUGGCCGUAAACGAUGUUCGCUAGGUGUGGCGUCGACUACGAGUCGGCGCUGUGCCGCAGGGAAGCCGCCAAGGCGAACCGCCUGGGAAGUACGUCCGCAAGGAUGAAACUUAAAGGAAUU
rnacentral:rRNA from 1 species